rnacentral:rRNA from 1 species
UUGGAGGGCAAGUCUGGUGCCAGCAGCCGCGGUAAUUCCAGCUCCAAUAGCGUAUAUUAAAGUUGUUGCAGUUAAAAAGCUCGUAGUUGAAUUUCGGGAUUAGUACGUUGGUCGUGCUUUCGGGUAUGUACUGGUGUUACUGAUUCCUCCCUUCUGACGAACUAUCAUGCCAUUUACUUGGUGUGGUGGGAAAUCAGAACUGUUACUUUGAAAAAAUUAGAGUGUUUAAAGCAGGCUCACGCUUGAAUACAUUAGCAUGGAAUAAUGAAAUAGGACGUUGAUCUUAUUUUGUUGGUUUCUAGGAUUGACGUAAUGAUUAAUAGGGAUAGUUGGGGGCAUUAGUAUUCAAUUGUCAGAGGUGAAAUUCUUGGAUUUAUUGAAGACUAACUACUGCGAAAGCAUUUGCCAAGGAUGUUUUCAUUAAUCAAGAACGAAAGUUAGGGGAUCGAAGACGAUCAGAUACCGUCGUAGUCUUAACCAUAAACUAUGCCGACUAGGGAUCGGAUGAUGUUAAUUUUUUUAAUGACUCAUUCGGCGCCUUACGGGAAAC